UACGGUGAAGUGUGAUACAGUGUUCAUGGU
rnacentral:piRNA from 1 species